AUGAGAUGGAUCAAUACUCUCCUGUCCACUGGCAGCUCUAGAGUCCUGCUGAACGGUCAGUUGGGUGCCCCCGUCAGGGCAAAGAGAGGGUUUCGGCAAGGGGACUCUUUAUCCCCGUAUCUCUUCAUUCUUGUAGCAGAUGUGCUUCAGAGAAUG
rnacentral:rRNA from 1 species